UACGGAGGAUGCGAGCGUUAUCCGGAUUUAUUGGGUUUAAAGGGUGCGUAGGCGGAUCGUUAAGUCAGUGGUCAAAUUGAGGGGCUCAACCCCUUCCCGCCAUUGAAACUGGCGAUCUUGAGUGGAAGAGAAGUAUGCGGAAUGCGUGGCGUAGCGGUGAAAUGCAUAGAUAUCACGCAGAACCCCGAUUGCGAAGGCAGCAUGCCGGCUUCCGACUGACGCUGAAGCACGAAAGCGUGGGGAUCGAACAGG
rnacentral:rRNA from 1 species